rnacentral:rRNA from 1 species
UACGGAGGGUGCAAGCGUUAUCCGGAUUCACUGGGCUUAAAGGGUGCGUAGGUGGGUAGGUAAGUCAGUGGUGAAAUCUCCAAGCUUAACUUGGAAACUGCCAUUGAUACUAUUUAUCUUGAAUUUUCUGGAGGUGAGCGGAAUAUGUCAUGUAGCGGUGAAAUGCUUAGAUAUGACAUAGAACACCAAUUGCGAAGGCAGCUUACUGCCCGAAUAUUGACACUGAGGCACGAAAGCGUGGGGAUCAAACAGG